GUCUACGUAGCUUAAAUCCACCCAAAGCAAGACACUGAAAAUGCCUAGAUGGAUUCACACAUCCCAUAGACA
rnacentral:tRNA from 1 species